CCCACACACCCCCAUAUGUGUGUGUGGACAGUUUGUUUUAAUUUCUUUGUCACAUUUAAAUGUUUCAGAAUAUUUAAUACAGUUUUCUAUCAGACUAAAACAACCUGAGUGAAUACAAACUAUUUCAUUUAUUGGGAAAAGUUGUCAGAACCAAUCUGGUCCAAUGUGAAAACUGUCUGGACCGCGAUUAAGGAUGCACCGAUCCACUGCUUCCACUUCCAAUACAGAUACCAAUAUUCUGAAUUGAAUUUAUUGUUUGUCUCAUGUAAAAUGAGAUUAAAAGUCAACUCCAACUGUACGAACAAUGUAUGAAAUAUGUACAAUAUAAAGCAAGAGAAGACAAGUGAUAUUUACUUUAUUUACAAUAUUAAUCAGCUAGAUGUAUAUGCACACAUACUUACUGUAUAUAACCAUAAUUAGUGCAUGUGAGUGUUCAGGGUGUUAACUGUUUUUGAGUCUGCUUUUGUUUUGAUGCCCCUUUAGCGCCUCCCUGAGGGCAGCAGGGUGGUGUAAACAUCCACCACAGAGGGGAGAACCAUGCAGAACUCUGAAUGGUUCUGUCUCCUGUUUGGAGACAGGUUCUCCAUGUUUGGUUCCAGAACCAGAACCAAACAUGUAGAAGCAGCAUUCAGCUUCUAUGCACCACAAAUUUGAAACAAACUUCCAGAAAACUGCAAAACAGCUGAAACACUGAGUUCCUUUAAAUAAAAUAUAAAAGCUCAGCUACUUUGAUUCCUAUUAAGUGGAACAUUGAAAAAUAUAUUUGGUGUAUAUUUGAUCAUUUUGAUGAUGGAAUAUUACAAAAUUUAUUGUUUUUUGCUUAUUUCAUAAUAGGUUGCUGUGUUAUGUUUUUAUAGUGUAAAGCUCUGAAUCACCCUGUUGCUGAAAUGUGCUACAGGUAAACUUGACUUGAUUUGAUGUAUAUCUUUUUCUGACAUACUGUUGGUUUUGUCCCAGAUGUUUUGCUUUUUGAGAUUUGUAGCCUACUUCAUAUAGCCAGACACGUUCACCUUAAGUCAUGUCUUGACUCUAAAGAUGAUCUCUCCAUAAUCAGCCCUGGGUGUGGCAUGUUAGACUGACUCAAUAAAUGAGGUUAUCACAGUUCAGUGCAGUUUAUUUGCGAUAAUCAUCAUAUUCAUUCAGCUCAAUAUUGCACAAGGCCAGAAUGAAAACAUUUAAAAGCUGUCUUCUAUAUUACCUAAGGUUGAUUUAUCUUUAAUUAAAAAUAGUUUUCACAAAAAAGCAAAAUCAGUAGAAAUAUGUAGGGGAAAACACUUCUCACACCUGAGGAAAAACCCAGGAAACCCCCUGAGGUCACCAACUACCUGAAGCAUAUCUAGUCACAAAAAACAAAACAAAAAAAUGAUUUUACUCAAAGCAGGUUUGUACACAAGCAAAAUAAAAAAUAAAAAAAUAAAAACGACUUUAUUAAAAAUGUGUUUUUCAUUCAUUUUUUGAGCAACAGAGGAUCACUGAAAAUCUCAUGACAGGAGCGUGAAGACAUUCUGAUUUGUGUUCAAUAUUUGCACAUAAAUUUUGAUGUGUGGUUUGACUUUUUAUUGCGAGGCAAAUGGAAUGAAGACGAGCAAAGUUUCUGGAAAAACGGCAACAUAACAGUGCAGACCAAAAUGUUGUAGCAACAUGACAGCAGAUGCUGCAGAUCAGUGAGCAACUGAGCGUUUGUUUCAAAUGAAAUUCAGACGAUGUGCAGCAUAGUGGGAAACACUGAGGCCUCCUGAAUGGCCUCAGUGACAGAGUGUGGAGGAAUUCCUCCAACAGAGAAAGGCGGGAUUUGCACCAAUGACUGGUAAACAAAUGUUUGGAUUUGCAAGAAGAUGGCAUGUCUCCAACUGGCACUAAUGAUAUUAAAAUAAGUGUCCAUGUGGCGUGAUGCUUUAAAGCACUUGGCAGAACAUCUUUUACGGUUAGUUAGAUGAAGGGAAGCUCCAGAUCCCGUUUCUAAAUGUGGACCAAAAAGUUCUGCUUCGCUCUCAUGUGACCACAUCGGCGCUGCGACAAACUGCAAACAGCAGCUUUCCUCUCGCCUCUCCUCCACUGAGGUCAGACAUGUAGUUCAUACCCAACAGUUGUCCUGUCGACCUGAGCUCUGGAUCUCUCCACAUCUUUCAGCGGCCUCUGUGAUUGGCUGUCAGUUUCGGUGCUUGGCCAGGUAUUGGCUGGACUGUCAAUGGUCUUGUGAUCAGUCUACAGACUCUGCAUUUCUCUGUUGUUCCUCUAAAGAGCAUCAGUAGAAACCUGUAAAGUGCAUGUGUGAAAACAGCUGUGGAAUUAUUAGCUCCUUUGAGAAGAUGAGCACAGACAGUCUUACACUCUAAUAAUGCAUACGAAUUGGAGAUUAUUGAUAACAGAUUAUCUUUUCAACUGCACAGGUUCAACAAACAACAGUCAUUUGCAUGGGAAAAACUAAAUUGACCAGUUAAAAUGUAGCACAGCAUUGUGUUUGUCCUUUUCACUGCUGAGUGAGCAGGAACGGUUUUCAUUAGGAAGGAGGAGUGGAAUUCAGAGCAUCUGGGUCCAAUACUGUCGACUGUUAAUCACACAGACAGACAGCAAGAAACUCUGUGUCAAGAUAAAGCAGCAGCACAGAGACGUAGAGAGAGAGAGAGGAGCGCUGAGGCAAUCCAAACAAAUCAACUUUUGGCUGGUGAAUCCAAAGUUGGUGACCUAAAGGAUGUUUACUCUGUCUUGGGCUGACUCUAUCAGAGUUGGGUCAAAUGGUGAAAACAGCAGAAUGAACUUUGGUUUCUAUCAGUAAAGGCAGACGCUCAUCCCCACAUGGUGGAACCAUUAUCUUGCGGUUUUUGGUGAUAAGAGUUUCACAAUGUGCUCCUGGUCAUCUAAGGAAUGCAGGGAGGUUUUCCUGCUGAACGUAGGAGGGCUCCGUUUGUGAAAUCUUAGCAUUUCCUGUCAACCACAUGGUGAAAAACCGGACAAAGCCACUCAUGCUGUCAUUUGUUUGUGUUGCUUAUAGUCUACACUGCAGAACAAAUGUUCUGACUUUUUCAUGACUUUUUCUGAUCAUAUUUUGAGAAACUCUCUGACUGUUUGUAAAGAUAACCAGACUGCUGUCCCAAAUAAAAGCACCCAAACACAGAAUGAGGAACAUGAACACACAAGCUGUGUGUUCACACACGCUGUCUGCCGUCUGUAAAAAUAAAUUCUUUGUGUAUUGCACCCCCUAAUGGCAAUGUUUGAAACUGUUUGUGUUCACAUCUGAAUCAAGUGACUGAUUUCCUCCUGGGCAGGUCAAGUUCUGCAGAACCCUGAUGACCCAAUGAAAUGAUUCAAGUGUGAUGAAGCAGAGAAUGUAGAGGCUGCUGCUCUGGAGGACCAGACUUUUUUCUCGAAUAAGCAGAAAAAAAAUUCCCAAAUAUCAAAACAAGGAAAAGUGAAAACUUAAAAUUUAUUCAAAAAGUGAAUAAACCUUGGGCGCAGUGGUGAACCAAAGGUUUUAUUAUGUCACACAGUAAAAGAUUCGUAAAGCUUCAGUAUGUAAAUUUUAUUCUCUCUUUUUUUUUUUUUACAUAUUUGUUGAAACCGUCACCAUGUUAUGAGUGUGGUGUAAAACAAAUCUGUGAAAAAAAGAAACAAAAAAAACAUCAA